ACUAAACAAAUCUAAAAAAAUAUUUAAAAAUAAAAAGAUGUAGAACAGGGCCACCUGACAGGCUCAGAUGGAAAACUCAGCAUCACGGAUUGCUGGGUCCACAUGAGCUUCCCUUGGUGGAAGCAGCCUGCCCAUCUAUGCUUUCCCCUCUCUCACAUGUGAAGACUGUAAUAGUCUCACUUGGGGCAGUUGGCUUAUAAGAGGAUGUGGAGCAUCUUCAAGACACAUCCCAGCUUCCAUUUGCCCCUAGAUGCGUAUAACUAAAGAGACUAAAUUAGAAGCCUGACAUGGGAGGGAAGAGCCGGUACUGUGCCGUGGUUGCGGAACCACAGUUGAAGAUGCAAGAAGCUGGCGCUUACCACAUCCUCAUCAACUCCCCUUCUCAAAAGGCAUACGAAUCUUGGGGAAUUAUCGUGGGCACCUGUAAACUACACUCCGAUGUACUCUUCUAGGGGGAUGUAUGUUAGAACAGAUCAAUAUUUUGCUGGAAGCUGGUCUGCCUAUCAACUCGAGAGUGAUUUUUUUUUUUCACCUUCCCAAUCUGUAAACACCACGAGAAGCAACCUUCUUUUAUCAGUGAGGACUAAUUGUGUUUUCAGUCUUGCUUCAGAAUUAUGCUAGCUGUCCUGUCUUGUCCUACUAUGUUCAGAAAAGCCUUAGGCAUUUCGACAUUCCUUUCACUAUUACAAUAGAGUACUGGAUCCCAUGUGCUCAUUACACCUGAUGAGCAGAAAUGGGCAAGUUCUUGCAAAUACCUUAUUUUUAUUUUAUGGAUGCAACUGUUUUACCUGCAUGUAUAUAUAUACCCAUGACUGCCUGUGGAGGUCCUAUGGGGGCAUUGGAUCCCCUGGAACUAGAGUUACAGACAGUUGUGAGCUCCAUGUGGGUAUUGGGAAUUGAAUCUAGGCUCUAUACAAGAACAGUAAGCAUUUUUAACCUCUGAGCUACCCCUGCAGUCCAAGUUAUUGACCGAUACCUUAAUCUCUGAACUGAAGGGCAGGUGAUGAAUUCCAUGACAGUUAAGGAGUCUGUCUCCUCAGUGAAGUUUCUUUUUGUCAAUAUUUUUAUUAUAUUUUAUUUAUUUGUCUGUUUGUUGUGUGUGUGCAUGCACACUCAAGUGCAAAUGCACACGCACAUACAUAUGCCUGUUCAUAUGCACACAGGCGUGAAGGCGUGUAUCAUUCAAUCAGAACCAGCCUGUGGAAGUCAGAGGACAAUUUCCCAGAAUCACUCAUCUCCUUCCAUCAUGUGUAUCCCAGGGAUUGAUCAUAGGUCAUCAGGCUUGGCAACACCUUGCCUUUACCAUCUCAGCAUCUCACCAACUGCCUAGGUGAAGUUUCCAGACUUAAGUCCUGACAGCUCCUAAAAAGGGCAUCCUACACUGUGGAAUGGCAUUGGCCUGUGCACUGAAUGUCUGUGGUUUCCAGUCCUGCAUCUCCUUGCUGCUCGUCUUUCAUUCCAGUCACCGAGAAGGUUGCCUAGAGAAGCAGAAGCUGUCAUGAUGGCACCACAUCCCUGCAGCCUGCCUAAGGAGUGCUUCCAACCUCAGGUCCCCAGCUCUGCUUCUUUGCUUGGAGGCUUUCUCCUGGGUUGAGAAAAUCUUGUUCAGCACGCAAGCAGCUUGGGGGUCCUGGGAAUUUCAUGUCUUCAAGGAAAACUUAGCCCGGUAAGGAUGGAAGUUUCUGAUCUCCAUGUGAGACAAUUUAGAGGUGAGUUCUGCAUUCCCUCGAGACUCGCUGUCCACAACACCAGUCAUUGUUAUAGUAACAUAGUCUAGCUUUUGCUUGCUUUCUUCCAUCUCUCUUUGCCCAUACCUUGUGUAUGCUUUCUGGGGAACACCUCCCAAACAAGCCACCUGGGCAACUCCAAACUCAAACUCUUAUGUUUGAGUAUUUGGUUUGGUUCCAGUUGGCAUGGCCUUGUCGAAAAAGAUGCAUCACUGGAUAUAGGCUUUGAGUUUUCAAAAGACAUGUACCCCGUGGGCCUCUUUGCUUCCUGUUUGUGGAUCAAGCUGAGAGCUCUCAGCUAUUGUUUCAGUGCCAUGUCUACCUGCUUGCCUGCCUACUGCCAUGCUCCCUAUCAUGAUGGUGACAAACUCCUAUCCCUCUAGAACUGUAAAAUCCAAAUACACUCUUCCUUCUAAAA